CCACUGUUGGCUUCUUUCUUCCUCCAGCCCUGAAGCCUUGCACCGGUCCUUCCUCGAGGGAAGCAGCAGGAGUCAGCUCACAGUAGAGCUUGGGACAUGCCAGUCUGUGGCAGGAGGGAACAGGAAUGGGAGGGAGAAAGCCUGAGACCAGACUUAGGAACCACAAGCCUGGAAGCCACAAAGCACACCCACUAAUUGACUCUGUGUCUUGGAAACGUCUUCUUGGAUAUUAUAAUUAUAUUGAAAAACUGGGCAAGAUGGCUCCCGCUGGACCUUCAAGGCCAUGUUUCUAUGGUGGAAGGCGUUGACUGUUUUUAUUGUCGUUGGGAACCAAAGGAUAUCUUUCAAGUGAGGAAAAACCUAACCAAAGCAAAGGACAAUUUCAUCACUUAGAUCACAAAUAAUUUUUCCAGAAAUGUCAGCUGAGUUUUCAGAAGGAAUCCCCCCAAUUCCAUCAACAUAAGAUCUCAAAGUACAAAUCAUUCAUCUGAAACAUGGACUCUGCUGGUUGCCAAUGGCGUGGUGACAGAUGUCGUGUGGUGAAUUCCGUCCUGUUUGUGUGACAGCAACUACAGGAUAAACCAGCAAAAUGGUAGCAGCUCUCAUAUCUUUAUUUGCUUAUAACAGAGAAUCUUCCGUUCUGCAGAAGCCCCAGUUAC